CACGCGCGGCGACAACUAUUGCAAAAUAUGCAUAAACGAGGACGCAAAUACGCGCUACAACACACACUGUCGCAUUUGCAUCCGAUUUCAACAAACUGAAAACAUGAAAUACGUGCUCGUCUGCUUUGUUGCUUGCAUGCUGCUGGUCGGAGCGACGACCAAACCAACAAGAGCGAAGACCAAACCAACGGGAGCGACGGGAGCGACGACCAAAGCAACGGGAGCGGCGGGAGCGACGACCAAAGCAACGGGAGCGGCGGGAGCGACGACCAAAGCAACGGGAGCGACGGGAGCGACGACCAAAGCAACCGAGAGCGAAGACCAAAGCAACGGGAGCGACGGGAGCGACGACCAAAGCAAUCGGGAGCGACGACUAAACCAACGGGAGCGACGACCAAAGCAACGGGAGCGACGGCCAAAGCAACGGGAGCGACGACCAAACCAACCAGGAGCGACGACCAAAGCAACGGGAGCGGCGGGAGCGAUGACCAAAGCGGCGGGAGCGAUGACCAAAGCGGCGGGAGCGAAGACCAAAGCAACGGGAGCGAAGACCAAACCUACGGAAGCGAAGACCAAACCUACGGAAGCGACGACCAAAGCAGGUUGCUCCGAGCCGAUUUUGUGCAUUUUUAAUUACGAUCCAGUUUGCGGCAAGAACGGCAAGGGCGAAAUGCGCACCUUUUCCAACGAGUGCGAUAUGAAGGUCGUAAACUGCAAAAAUUAUGAUUUCGUCAAACUGAAAAUGGGCGAAUGUUAACAAACAUCUUCAAGUUCCGGACGAGGAUCACUAAUUGCAUUUAUUUCGGCAUGUGAUUAAUUCAAUAAAGAGAUUCAAAUUA